CGUUUGAGAUGCAUUCGGCGCUGUGCAGACCGAUCAGCCAAUGACAUCAAAGUACCGCGAGAGCGAUUAAUAAGGAGUAGUAUGCUUUCCAGUCACUCUACUCUACUCUACUUUGAUCACACCAAGCAGUCUGUGCAGCACCGAUGUAUCUCGGAGGUCUGCCAACCGCCAUUAACUCCAGAAGAAGAAGAAGAAGAAGAUGUAUCUCGGAACAAGCCUAAUAUUCACAACUGUCAGGUGCUUCGGCGCGGCCUUUUUCCUUUAUCUCACCAGGUGUGCAGGUCAAAAUUGCACGAGGAAGAUGUGGCCUCCCUAUACUGCAGGGACAACCUUGCAGUCAUAUGCAAACAAUUUGCUGCUCUUUGUUUCAUCCUGCCCCCAGCUGAAACUGAAAAUU